rnacentral:lncRNA from 1 species
CCGAGCAGCGGAGGCACCGUGCCUCCAGCCGGGUGGUUUCACACUCUGAUUAUCCUCCCCCGAGGGAAAAACAGGGCCUAAUUCUAACCAGAAUUUUUCCGACUUCCAGUCCACACUGUGGACUCCAGCUUCACCUUUUUCUUUCUUUUUUUUUUUUUUAUCAGAUAAAAGAGCCUUCAUGUACAGAAAGCUCCCCCCGGGCUGCCUCCUCGCAGCACUGCCUGUAGCUGGUGGGAGAGCUGGAGCUGCUUUAGUCUGGCACCACGGGCAGGUUCUCCACACCCCGAAACGUUCCCGGCUCUGAACCUUUUCCAGCUUUCUGGAGGUAUUUUUCAAAGUCUGGUUAAGGCACCGCAGGAAUCAAAGGAUCUGGGUUGUUCCCAGGCUCCUGGGCUGUGUCACACCGGGCCCCUUUUUUCCUUUCAUUUCUCCUGGUUUCAGUGAUUUUCGUCCUGGGAGGGGAGCUCCGAGGGACAGGGCUGGAGGGUGGCUCUGCAGGGCCUCACCCUUGGGAGCCCAGAGCCUAAGUUCUACAACUAGGUUCUUGACAUUGAUUAUGAAAGAGUGUAAAAGAGGAAUAAAUUAAGACAAAUUACACAGCUGAUGCUUUUGUCGUUUACCCAGCUGCAAGCCAUGACUAUUACCAUGAAGGUCAAUGAAGCUGGGUGUGUAUAAAAGCAAAAGAGGGGGAAAAAAAAAAAAAAAGAGAUGCCACUUUGGGAGCAUGCUGUGGCUUUCUUGGGAAAAAUGCCAUUUCAUAGCAUUUUUGGUACCACUUGUCAGUAAUUCUCUAGCCUUCCCCUGCCUUGGGCUAGGGCUGACCCAGGCAGGGCAUCCUGAUGGGAUCCCAGUGGGGGCAGGUGAUGCCCGAGGGGAGCGAGGAGAGGCAGCGAGGCGCUCGGCGAUCAGCACAGGGAGGCUCGCCGGGAGGAGCGGAGGCGAUCUGCAUGCAAGGUGCCUAGAGCGGGGUGCGAGACAUGCAACCGGCAAGCAAGCUCCUGACCCUCUUCUUUCUCAUCCUGAUGGGCACAGAACUCACUCAAGUAGGUUUCGCUCUUGCUUCUUCUUCUCAACCCCCCCCCCAACCCAACCCAUCCCCACCUUUUUCUCCCCAACGCCAUUUUCUGCUAAAUCUCGGGAGCGCAAAUAAAAAGAAUUUAUCCCCCUCGAGUAGGGGAUUGCAACCUCUGGUCCCCCCCCCCCUUUUGCUGCAGCCCGUGCCCUGGGUGCACCUGCAGCGGGGCUGGGGUGGGGGGGGGACAGGGUGGGGGUAUUGGCACAGGGGUUUGGGGAGGGGAGGAGAGGGGCUGCACGGGGUGGGGAAGGGGCAGGGGGGGUCUCCCGCAGCCCCCCUGGGGGACACGGGGCCCUUCGGUGCCCCCCCGCAGCCCCACUCGUGUUUGUGGGUCGGGGGGUGCUCCGUGGCCCCUCGCUGCCUGCGGCUUGGUGAAGUUUGGGGCUGCGUGUCCCG